UCGGACGUGGUGCACGGUGCACACCCGUUCCCCUUUAGAACUCAUGCUUGUAAACAGCGGGAGCCCUGGGUUCGACUCCCAGCGUCCGAA